rnacentral:rRNA from 1 species
CGUAGGUGGCAAGCGUUGUCCGGAUUUAUUGGGUUUAAAGGGUGCGUAGGCGGCUUUGUAAGUCAGUGGUGAAAUAUGGCAGCUUAACUGUCAAGGUGCCAUUGAUACUGCGGAGCUUGAGUACAGAUGAGGUAGGCGGAAUUGACGGUGUAGCGGUGAAAUGCUUAGAUAUCGUCAAGAACACCGAUAGCGAAGGCAGCUUACUGGGCUGUAACUGACGCUGAGGCACGAAAGUGUGGGGAUCAAACAGGAUUAGAUACCCUGGUAGUCCACACUGUAAACGUUGAUGACUCGCUGUUGGCGAUACACGGCCAGCGGCAGAGAGAAAUCGUUAAGUCAUCCACCUGGGGAUACGCCGGCAACGGUG